GCCAGUGUAGCAUAUUGGUUUUAGUGUUGGAUUGAAAUUCUGGAGACCAGGGUUCAAUUCCUAGCUUAGCCA